rnacentral:lncRNA from 1 species
GAAAAUUAAGGCCAAGAUUUUUUGCUAAUUUAAACAUAAUAUUUUUGGGCAGUUAAGGAUAGGAUUAUGAUUAGAAAAAUAAAGAUUAUUCUUUAAUGUAUUUCCAUGUAUAUUACAAAUGAUUUCUAAGAGUUCUAGUUGUACAUAUUUUUUUUCUUUUUCCUAUAUAUUUUGUAUCUAUUCAUAUUGUAAAGUAUCAAAAAAAGUCUUCCUCAAUAAAAUCUUUUAUUCAAGUUGUUAGAUAGUGUACAAUUAUUUAGGUUAUUUACUUUUCUUUUCCUUUUCUUUCCUUAUUGUAUUGUGGGUCCUACUAACAUGUAUAUAUAUACCCAAGUCCAAUGUGUAUUAUUAACAGUUUUUCAAUAACAAGAAUUAGGGAUUCUCCCUUUUCUCUCUUUUCACAUGGUAUCAGAGCCUAGGGAGAAAAAAACCCUAAUUAUUUCCGGUUUAUCCGUGAAUCAAUUCUGGGAAAUCUUUCAGUGACCGUGUUUCAUUCCGGUCACCUUUCCCAUCUCCUAAAGCUUUCCGAUCAACCGUAUCGCCGUCAAAAAACCCUCACCACCGGCGACUUUUCUGGCAACCUUUUUCUGACGAAGUCUUUUCCGACACCAACCAUACCAUCAGGUGCGCAAGGAGGAGAUCUUCAAGUUUUCUCAAAGCACCGGAGGGAGAUUCUCACCCACGCGCCGCCCAGCGCGUUUCUUCUCCGGCGGCCUGAAUCUCACGUGCCGGCGCAUGAGGGCGCGUGGAGCACUUUCCGGCCACGCACUUCCACCUCCAGCCUUGCCUGACGCCGUCUAGCCACCCUCCAUCUAUGUUUGUGCCAUCCGAGCCCUGAAAGUGCAUUUUUUGGGGUUUUUUGGUCUCUGCCGGCCCUCUAAACAGCCUUUCCGGCAACCUCUGGUGACUUCCUUUCCACCCCGAGCCCUGCAUGUGUCUUAGGAAGUGUUCUUCUACCCUUCCAACAGUGCCACAUUUGUUUUUCUUUACUAUUUGGUCUCUCACAGCCGCAGAUCCUCGGAUUUUUCUUCUUUCAGCCGCGAUCUGAAUCCGUAUUAGGGCUCUCUUUAAUCCAAACAUAUUUCGUUUUCCAGAUAAGUAGAUAUGGCUACUAAAAGUUCCACUUUUUCCUCUGUCAUAUCUGGAUCUCCUAUGAUUACUUUGGAGAAAUUGGUUGGCAGUGAAAAUUAUUUGUCCUAGUCUACCUCUGUGGAGCUUUGGUUUAUGGGUCAAGGUUAUGAGGAUCACCUUGUUAAGUAGGAGGCGGAUAUCCCUGAGGUUGACAGAGUACAAUGGAGGAAGAUAGAUGCACAGUUAUGUAGUGUGUUAUGGCAAUCAAGUGAUCCUAAGAUUUUGCUUCAUCUUCGGGCCUCCAAAACAUGCUUUAAAUUUUGGAAUCGGGCGAAAGGGCUAUACACAAAUGAUAUCCAACGUCUUUAUAAGGUGGCUUCUUCUAUUGUCAAUGUCAGACAACAAGACAUGGAUUUAUCUACUUAUAUUGGCCAGAUUGCCUCUCUUAAGGAGGAAUUCUUGACCGUGAUGCCUCUUACUACUGAUGUUGGGGAUCAACGAACACAGAUUGACAAGUUCUUCAUGGUUCUUACGCUUAUUGGCCUCUGUCCAGAUCUCGAGACCGUCCGAUAUCAGAUUCUUGGCAAUUCCUCUGUUCCAUCCUUGGAUGAUAUGUUUGCUCGCCUCCUCCGUAUCUCCUCCACUCGGCCUUUGCCAUCUGAUAACACUCCAGAUUCUUCUGUGUUAGUUUCUCAAACUAACUCUCGAGGAGGACGCAGUGGUAACCGAGGUAGAGGCCAACGUCCUCAUUGCACCUAUUGCAAUAAGCUUGGCCACACUCGUGAUCGGUGUUAUCAGUUACAUGGGCGGCCUCCCCGCACUGCCCACAUGGCCCAGUCAUCUGAUCCUCAGUCGCCUCAGCCUCCCAGUUCCUCCACAUUUCAGGGUAUUUUCCUCACUGACAAUGAGUAUGAUGACUAUCUCCGCUAUCAAGCCACCAAGUCAGCUUCUGUUGCCCAGACUGGUAAUGUUUCUGCUUGUCUUACCCACACAUCUUUUCUUGGACCUUGGAUUCUAGAUUCUGGCGCUUCUGAUCACAUAUCUGGUAAUAAGGAUUUUUUCUCUUCUAUUACUACUACCUCUGCCUUACCUACUGUUACUUUAGCUAAUGGUUCCCAAACUAUGGCUAAAGGUUUUGGUUUCGCUCAUCCUCUCCAUUCUGUCCUUUAUGCCCCUGAGUGUCCUUUUAAUCUUAUUUCCAUCAGCAAAAUAACUCGCACUCUUAACUGUUCUAUCAUUUUCUCUGAUAAAUUUGUGACCUUGCAGGACCGGAGUACGGGGAAGACGAUUGGCAUAGGACGUGAGUCUCAAGGCCUCUAUCACCUCACCUCGCCUUCAACUCCUGCAAUUUGCAUUUCCACUGAUGCUCCCCUCCUCAUCCACAGUCGCCUGUGCCACCCUAGUCUAUCCAAGUUCCAGAAAAUGGUCCCUCGUUUUUCAUCUUUGUCGUCGCUUGCGUGUGAGUCCUGUCAGCUUGGGAAACAUACUCGUGUCUCAUUCCCAAAGCGUUUGAAUAAUCGGGCAAAGUCUCCUUUUGAACUUGUCCACACUGAUGUUUGGGGUCCUUGUCGGACCGCAUCUACUUUAGGAUUUCAGUAUUUUGUCACUUUCAUUGAUGACUAUUCUCGAUGUACUUGGUUAUUUUUAAUGAAAAAUCGAGCUGAGUAAUUAUUCUCUAUUUUCCAGAAAUUUUAUGCUGAAAUCCAAACCCAGUUCAAUAUUUCUAUUCGUGUGUUGCGCAAUGACAAUGCCAGGGAAUAUUUUUCUGUACCAUUUACUUCAUUUAUGUCCCAACAUGGGAUCAUUCAUCAGUCUUCUUGUGCUCAUACUCCUCAACAAAAUGGGGUAGCUGAACGUAAGAAUCGACAUCUUGUUGAGACAACUCGUACUCUCCUUCUCCAUUGUCAUGUUCCUUUUCGUUUUUGGGGGGAUGCUGUUCUUACAGCAUGUUAUUUGAUUAAUCGUAUGCCCUCAUUUGUAUUACAUGAUCAGAUUCCUCAUUCCCUUCUUUUCCCUAACCAACCACUUUGGGCCUGUUUGUUUAGUGUUUUCAAGAACUGUUUUCUGUUCUUGAAAACAAAAAACACCAAAAACUUGUUUGGUUGAAAGAGUCAUUUUUGUUUUUGUUGUUCCCCGUGUUCUCAAAAUGGCACUAUUUAGAGAACAACAAAAUGUUGUUUUCCCCGUUUUUGUACUGUUUAUAGAACAAAAUUAAAGAACAAAAAACACAUCUGUUCUCCGUGUUUUUCUUUUUCUUCCCGUUCUCAUCUCUCUCCAGCACAGUCGCGGCGCCUCUUCUCCAGCACAGUCGCGACAUCUCCAGCAAGAAACAAAGGUAAUUUCCACAGAUGUUGAAGUUAUUUUUUAUAGAUCUAAUAAAAUAGGUUUUUUUUGGCAAUAUUUGUUGAGGGAAAUGUUAGAUCUGAUAAAGAGAUAUCAGUUAUGUUAUUCGAAUUUUUUUUUUAUCACCUGCUGUUAGUUUCUUUUUUUCCAGUUUAUAUUUUCCUGUUUGGAUGCUGAGAAAAGUAGGAAACGAGAAUGAAAAUAGAAUGAGAUCUGAGAUUUUUUUGAUCACCUGUUAGUUUUUUUUUUUUUCGUUUAUAUUUUCCUGUUUGGAUGCUGAGAAAAGUGGGGAACGAGAAUGAAAAUAAGCCCAAAAAUUCCUGAUUUUUUCCCGUUUUGAUUUUUGUUGAGUUGUUCUGUUAAAAAAAAACAAAAACCUUACUUAAAGACAUGGAAAUCAAACGGGAAAAUCCAAGCUUGAGUCUUGACGGAUGAAAUACCUCAAGGAAAAUGGAAAAAAUAAAGAGAAUCAGAAGAGGAUGAGGUGUUGAAUCACCAAGAACCUUUUCUCUCUGUAGAUCUGCUCUUCCUCUCUCUCAUCCAGACUCCAAAGCCCGGUUAACCUCUACUCUUUGGGCCUGUUUGGAUGCUGCACUAAACAAACAGACCUUAAGAGUUGGGGGUUGAAUGCAGCGUGAAGCAACAUACCCUCCACAUGUUUGAACUUUGAACCUGCCCUUUAUAAAUUCCAAAUUCCCACAGCUCACCAAACAUCCUUCAUAAAUUCCAAAUUGUUGUUGCAUGUUGUACCCUUCAUAAUUGGAUUCGUCUAUCAACUCGAAAUGAUCAAUUGUUUAGAGAAUAUGAGGUAGAAGACCUUUCAAUCGAAGGUGAAGAAGAGAGCACAAGUAGCAGAAACCAUUCAAUUGAUUUAUCAGAUGAGAGUGCAGCAGCUAUGGCAGCUUGAAGAGAUCAAAUUGCUGAAGUGAUGUGGGCAAAUUAUAUUAAUGUCAAUCCAUGACUUGUCUUAUUUUUAAUUUUAAAUAUUUGUCAACACUUUAGUGUUUUGUUAGAAUUUAUAUAUAUUUGUUAACUUAACUAGUUCUCAUUAGUGUUAUGUGAUGUUUGUUUUAAUUUCUAAUGAUUAAAUAUUGCUUAUAAAUUUAAUUUAUAAUUGUAAAAGUAGGAUGGACAAAAGACCCAUGUGAAAUACAUACAUCAUAUUUUAUUUUAUUUUUAAUAAUUUAUCAACUUAUAUAAAAAAUUUAAAAUUAAAUAAUUUUUUAAAUUUAAAUGAAAUGUGUAUUUAAAAAUAUUUAUAAAUUUAUAAUAUAAAGUUACUUGAAGAAAAUAUUUUAUUAAUUGAAAAAGAAAAAAAAACAUCUUUCAAACAUGUUUUUUUAUUAACUAAGCCAAACAUGUUUUUUUUUUGUUUUUGAGAACAAAAACUGUUUUUCAAAAUUCAGUUCCCAAACACAAUUUUUUUUCUAAAAACACUAAAAACUGUUCUUAAAAACUGUUCUCAAAAACUGUUUUCCAGAACAAUUUUUAAAAACAGCAACCAAACAGGCCCUUUAUUUCCUUCCUCCUCGUGUUUUUGGUUGUACUUGCUUUGUUCAUAUUCUCACUCCUGGACAAGACAAACUUUCUGCCAAAGCCAUAAAAUGCAUAUUCUUGGGAUAUUCCAGACUUCAAAAGGGUUAUCGUUGCUAUUCCUCUGAGACUCAUCGCUACUUUUCUCCGCUGAUGUCACUUUCUUUGAGGACUCACCGUUUUUCUCCACAUCUGAGUCUCUUCUUGUUUCUGAAGUCUUACCAUUCUCUCCCCACCUGAUCCAGUGCCUUCUCGUCCACUUCAAGUUUAUCAUCGCCGUCAUCGUGUCGCUGUUCCUCCUUCUUUGGCCGAGGUACCUGCUGACUCACUUCCUAUCCCUUCGGCUUCUCGUGCCCCGGCUCUGCCUCCUUCUGCUGACUUACUCAUUGCUCUUAAGAAAGUAAUCGAUCUACUCGUAAUCCUCAUCCCAUUUACAAUUUUUUGAGUUAUCAUCGAUUAUCUUCACCCUAUUCUGCAUUUGUUUCUGCUAUAUCUUCUGUUUCUCUUCCCAAGAGCACCUCUGAGGCUCUUUCCCAUCCAGGCUGGCGACAGGCAAUGGUAGAUGAAAUGGCUGCUUUACACUCCAAUGACACUUGGGAUCUUGUUGUUUUACCCUCUGGUAAAUCUACAGUUGGUUGUCGUUGGGUCUACACAGUUAAGGUUAGCCUUGAUGGUCAGGUUGAUCGCCUUAAGGCCCGCUUAGUUGCUAAAGGCUAUACUCAGGUUUAUGGUUCUGAUUAUGGUGACACUUUCUCUUUUGUUGCCAAGAUAACUUCUAUUCGUCUAUUGCUCUCCAUGGCUGCUAUGCGUUCUUGGCCUCUUUAUCAGUUAGAUAUUAAAAAUGAUUUCCUUCAUGGGGAUCUUGUUGAGGAAGUUUAUAUGGAGCAACCACCUGAUUUUGUUGCUCAAGGGGAGUCUGGUUUAGUGUGCAGGUUACGCCGUUCUCUAUAUGGCUUGAAACAAUUUCCUCGAGCAUGGUUUAGCCGUUUUAGUUCUGUUGUUCAGGAGUUUGGCAUGUUCCGCAGUACAGCUAACCAUUCCGUUUUCGAUCAUCAUAACUCUUCGGGGCAGUGUAUUUCUCUGAUAGUUUAUGUGGACGACAUCGUCAUUACAGGUAGUGAUCAGAAUGGUAUUCAGAAACUAAAGCAACACCUUUUCACCCACUUUCAGACUAAAGACUUUGGGAAACUCAAGUAUUUCUUAGGGAUUGAGAUAGCUCAAUCCAGUUCCGGUGUGGUUCUUUCCCAAAGGAAGUAUGCUUUAGACAUCUUGGAAGAAACCGGUAUGUUUGACUGUAAACCGGUAGACACUCCUAUGGAUCCAAAUGUCAAACUUAUACCAGGACAGGGGGAGCCUUUAGGAGAUCCUAGGAGAUAUCGGCGACUUGUAGGUAAACUGAACUACCUCACCAUUACUCGUCCAGACAUUUCUUUUCCUGUAAGUGUUGUUAGUCAAUUCCUACAAUCACCAUGUGAUAGCCAUUAGGAUGUCGUAAUCCGCAUUCUUCGAUAUAUCAAAAGCACACCAGGCUAGGGUGUGUUGUACGAGAACAGAGGUCAUACCCAGGUUGUUGGUUACACAGAUGCAGAUUAGGUUGGCUCACCUACAGAUAGAUGUUCCACUUCCGGGUAUUGUGUUUUUAUUGGAGGUAACCUAAUAUCCUGAAAGAGUAAGAAACAAGAUGUAGUGGCCAGAUCUAGUGCUGAAGCCGAGUAUCGAGCUAUGGCUUUGGCAACAUGUGAACUCAUAUGGCUGAAACAUCUUCUUCGAGAGUUGAGAUUUGGAAAGGAUGAACAGAUGAAGCUCAUCUGUGACAACCAAGCCGCUUUGCAUAUUGCAUCCAAUCCAGUCUUCCAUAAAAGGACCAAACACAUUGAAGUUGACCGUCACUUCAUUAGAGAGAAUAUCGCAUCAGGAUGUGUGGCUACUAGUUUUGUCAAUUCAAAUGAUCAACUAGCAGAUAUUUUUACUAAAUCUCUCAAAGGUCCUAGAAUUAAAUACAUUUGUAAUAAGUUUGGUGCAUAUAACAUAUAUGCUCCAGCUUGAGGGGGAGUGUUAGAUAGUGUACAGUUAUUUAGGUUAUUUACUUUUCUUUUCCUUUUCUUUCCUUAUUGUAUUGUGGGUCCCACUAACAUGUAUAUAUAUACCUAAGUCCAAUGUGUAUUAUUAACAGUUUUUCAAUAACAAGAAUUAGGGAUUCUCCCUUUUCUCUCUUUUCACACAAGUUUCUCCAAGGCUACACACAUUUUUGAGAUAAAAAAAAAUAAAAAAUAAAAAAUAAAAAAUAAAAAAUAAAAAAUAAAAAAUAAAAAAUAAACCCAAUUAGAUAGAUAGUUGAUGAGAGGACUUGAACCCGGGACUUCCAGUUAACAAUGCAUAUCAUGCUCCAAAAUGAAAAAUCCAAAGUUUCUUCGUCUUCCGUAGAAAUUGAUUCAUAUCUUUCCCUCCCUCUCACAUGA